UACGGGGGGAGCAAGCGUUGUUCGGAUUCACUGGGCGUAAAGGGCGCGUAGGCGGCGCAACAAGUCACUUGUGAAAUCUCCGGGCUUAACCCGGAGCGGCCAAGUGAUACUGUCGUGCUAGAGUGCGGAAGGGGCUACUGGAAUUCUCGGUGUAGCGGUGAAAUGCGUAGAGAUCAGGAAGAACACCAGUGGCGAAGGCGCUCUGCUAGGCCGUAACUGACACUGAGGGACGAAAGCGUGGGGAGCAAACAGG
rnacentral:rRNA from 1 species